UACGUAGGGGGCAAGCGUUGUCCGGAAUCAUUGGGCGUAAAGAGCGCGUAGGCGGCCCUGUAAGUCCGCUGUGAAAGUCAAGGGCUCAACCCUUGAAUGCCGGUGGAUACUGCAGGGCUAGAGUCCGGAAGAGGCGAGUGGAAUUCCUGGUGUAGCGGUGAAAUGCGCAGAUAUCAGGAGGAACACCGGUGGCGAAGGCGGGUCUCUGGGCCGAUACUGACGCUGAGGCGCGAAAGCUAGGGGAGCGAACAGG
rnacentral:rRNA from 1 species